GGAGAGAGAGAUCAGGUUGGGAGAUCUCUGGGAGAGAGAGAUCAGGUUGGGGGAUCUCAGAGAGAGAGAGAGAGAGAUGAGUGGUGGGGGGUGAGCGGUGGUGGUCGUGAGGACAUGUAUGCGUUGGGAGAUAUUUCUGGAGAAAUGUGGGACAUGUGGAGGACGGGGAAGACGGCCGAUGCUAGCGUAGAAUCAGUCGGUCUAACAACAUCGUUUCUCUUUUUUUUAAACAGCUUACAGACAGACCAAUAUAUGUAUUAUCUGUAAGAUUGUCUAUAAACCACAUGCAAAACACUAUAGAUGGUUGGGUAUCUGUACCUUUGUACAUGCGGUGGCGACGAACGAGGGUGUUGGGAUCGACCAAACCACAAAAACCGUGGAAUGUGAUGCUGAUUAUCGUGUCUUCUACCGACUGUAUCCAGAAAAAAAAACACUGAAAAAGAGAAAACAAAUGCACCGCGUCACACUUUUUAAUUUGAGAAAAAUCACGUUUUAGACACCUGCUCUGAAGACCAAAGCCUGCCCUGCCUGCCACCACUUGCCCUCAGAAACCGGCGGUGGAGUUGGAGAUGACUACUAAAAUAAUUGCUGGAGAAGUCCUCCGCUAGCUUUAGUCAAAGAUUUCAGUUAAGGCCUAGUCGUUCGUUAGCGCAAGCAGGAACUUGCGGCAGUUGCAAAACGUACGAGACGACAUGCAGAAGCCAAAGCCGAUCCGAUGCCAGAAUUGCCGGGGCACGGCACGGGAU
rnacentral:lncRNA from 1 species